rnacentral:tRNA from 1 species
GGAGGAGUCGGAUAGUGGACCAUUCCGAUUGCUUGGAAAGCAAUUGUGCUGAAAGGCACGCGCGAGUUCGAAUCUCGCCUCCUCCG